rnacentral:rRNA from 1 species
GUGACAGCCCCGUACACAAAAGCGCAUGUGCUGUGAGCUCGAUGAGUAGGGCGGGACACGUGGUAUCCUGUCUGAAUAUGGGGGGACCAUCCUCCAAGGCUAAAUACUCCUGACUGACCGAUAGUGAACCAGUACCGUGAGGGAAAGGCGAAAAGAACCCCGGCGAGGGGAGUGAAAAAGAACCUGAAACCGUGUACGUACAAGCAGUGGGAGCACAGGUUUACCUGUGUGACUGCGUACCUUUUGUAUAAUGGGUCAGCGACUUAUAUUCUGUAGCAAGGUUAACCGAAUAGGGGAGCCGGAGGGAAACCGAGUCUUAAUUGGGCGUUAAGUUGCAGGGUAUAGACCCGAAACCCGGUGAUCUAGCCAUGGGCAGGUUGAAGGUUGGGUAACACUAACUGGAGGACCGAACCGACUAAUGUUGAAAAAUUAGCGGAUGACCUG